GGGACAGCGGCGAAAGGGACAGUAAUAUGUAGGUACCUACCCUCGGGUCCGGGAUAGCUGCGGGAAACUGCAGGUAAUACCGGAUGACAUCUCCGGAUCAAAGGUGUGAUUCCGCCCGGGGAGGGGCCUGCAUCCUAUUAGCUUGUUGGUGGGGUAAUGGCCUACCAAGGCGACGAUGGGUAGCGGGUGUGAGAGCAUGACCCGCGUCAUUGGGACUGAGACACUGCCCAGACACCUACGGGUGGCUGCAGUCGAGAAUCUUCGGCAAUGGGGGAAACCCUGACCGAGCGACGCCGCGUGCGGGAUGAAGGCCUUCGGGUUGUAAACCGCUGUCGUAGAGGAGGAAAUGCAGGGGGGUUCUCCCCCUUGCUUGACCUAUUCUAGGAGGAAGGACGGGCUAAGUUCGUGCCAGCAGCCGCGGUAAGACGAACCGUCCAAACGUUACUCGGAAUUACUGGGCUUAAAGGGUGCGUAGGCUGCGCAGAAAGUUGGGUGUGAAAGCCCUCGGCUCAACCGGGG
rnacentral:rRNA from 1 species